UUUAAACGGUAGGGUAUUGGCCUACCGUGGCAAUGACGGGUAACGGGGAAUUAGGGUUCGAUUCCGGAGAGGGAGCCUGAGAAACGGCUACCACAUCUAAGGAAGGCAGCAGGCGCGCAAAUUACCCAAUCCUAAUACAGGGAGGUAGUGACAAGAAAUAACAAUACAGGACUUUUUGGUUUUGUAAUUGGAAUGAGUUAAGUAUAAACCCCUUUACAAGUAUCAAUUGGAGGGC
rnacentral:rRNA from 1 species